AGACCCGAAACCCGGUGAUCUAGCCAUGGGCAGGUUGAAGGUUGGGUAACACUAACUGGAGGACCGAACCGACUAAUGUUGAAAAAUUAGCGGAUGACCUGUGGCUGGGGGUGAAAGGCCAAUCAAACCGGGAGAUAGCUGGUUCUCCCCGAAAGCUAUUUAGGUAGCGCCUCGUGAAUUCAUCUCCGGGGGUAGAGCACUGUUUCGGCUAGGGGGCCAUCCCGGCUUACCAACCCGAUGCAAACUGCGAAUACCGGAGAAUGUUAUCACGGGAGACACACGGCGGGUGCUAACGUCCGUCGUGAAGAGGGAAACAACCCAGACCGCCAGCUAAGGUCCCAAAGUCAUGGUUAAGUGGGAAACGAUGUGGGAAGGCCCAGACAGCCAGGAUGUUGGCUUAGAAGCAGCCAUCAUUUAAAGAAAGCGUAAUAGCUCACUGGUCGAGUCGGCCUGCGCGGAAGAUGUAACGGGGCUAAACCAUGCACCGAAGCUGCGGCAGCGACACUGUGUGUUGUUGGGUAGGGGAGCGUUCUGUAAGCCUGUGAAGGUGUGUCGUGAGGCAUGCUGGAGGUAUCAGAAGUGCGAAUGCUGACAUAAGUAACGAUAAAGCGGGUGAAAAGCCCGCUCGCCGGAAGACCAAGGGUUCCUGUCCAACGUUAAUCGGGGCAGGGUGAGUCGACCCCUAAGGCGAGGCCGAAAGGCGUAGUCGAUGGGAAACGGGUUAAUAUUCCCGUACUUGGUGUUACUGCGAAGGGGGGACGGAGAAGGCUAUGUUGGCCGGGCGACGGUUGUCCCGGUUUAAGCGUGUAGGUGUGUGUUCCAGGUAAAUCCGGUUCACUUUAACACUGAGGCGUGACGACGAGGCACUACGGUGCUGAAGCAACAAAUGCCCUGCUUCCAGGAAAAGCCUCUAAGCAUCAGGUAACAUCAAAUCGUACCCCAAACCGACACAGGUGGUCAGGUAGAGAAUACCAAGGCGCUUGAGAGAACUCGGGUGAAGGAACUAGGCAAAAUGGUGCCGUAACUUCGGGAGAAGGCACGCUGACACGUAGGUGAAGUGAUUUACUCAUGGAGCUGAAGUCAGUCGAAGAUACCAGCUGGCUGCAACUGUUUAUUAAAAACACAGCACUGUGCAAACACGAAAGUGGACGUAUACGGUGUGACGCCUGCCCGGUGCCGGAAGGUUAAUUGAUGGGGUCAGCGCAAGCGAAGCUCCUGAUCGAAGCCCCGGUAAACGGCGGCCGUAACUAUAACGGUCCUAAGGUAGCGAAAUUCCUUGUCGGGUAAGUUCCGACCUGCACGAAUGGCGUAAUGAUGGCCAGGCUGUCUCCACCCGAGACUCAGUGAAAUUGAACUCGCUGUGAAGAUGCAGUGUACCCGCGGCAAGACGGAAAGACCCCGUGAACCUUUACUAUAGCUUGACACUGAACAUUGAGCCUUGAUGUGUAGGAUAGGUGGGAGGCUUUGAAGCGUGGACGCCAGUCUGCGUGGAGCCGACCUUGAAAUACCACCCUUUAAUGUUUGAUGUUCUAACGUGGACCCGUGAUCCGGGUUGCGGACAGUGUCUGGUGGGUAGUUUGACUGGGGCGGUCUCCUCCUAAAGAGUAACGGAGGAGCACGAAGGUUGGCUAAUCCUGGUCGGACAUCAGGAGGUUAGUGCAAUGGCAUAAGCCAGCUUGACUGCGAGCGUGACGGCGCGAGCAGGUGCGAAAGCAGGUCAUAGUGAUCCGGUGGUUCUGAAUGGAAGGGCCAUCGCUCAACGGAUAAAAGGUACUCCGGGGAUAACAGGCUGAUACCGCCCAAGAGUUCAUAUCGACGGCGGUGUUUGGCACCUCGAUGUCGGCUCAUCACAUCCUGGGGCUGAAGUAGGUCCCAAGGGUAUGGCUGUUCGCCAUUUAAAGUGGUACGCGAGCUGGGUUUAGAACGUCGUGAGACAGUUCGGUCCCUAUCUGCCGUGGGCGCUGGAGAACUGAGGGGGGCUGCUCCUAGUACGAGAGGACCGGAGUGGACGCAUCACUGGUGUUCGGGUUGUCAUGCCAAUGGCACUGCCCGGUAGCUAAAUGCGGAAGAGAUAAGUGCUGAAAGCAUCUAAGCACGAAACUUGCC
rnacentral:rRNA from 1 species